rnacentral:lncRNA from 1 species
ACUGCAGCCGCUAGACCAGCUCCCUGGCGGGCGCGGAGCAAGCUUUGACCUUUGGAACUGGGCACCGCAGCCCCAAUAUCUGCCCUGCGGUCAGAGCAACCUGAACACUUCCUAGUGAAUUGCAAUGUAAAGGUGACCAGCGCCGCCACUUGGGUGAUCUUAACUUCUCUCAGCCUCAGUUGCCUCAUCUGUAAAAUGUGUUUCAUUCAAGAAAUGAUUACCCAGUGUCUACUUCGUGCUAAACAGCCUUGAGCCCUUGGCCUACAGCAAUGAAUAAAACCAUUUGUGAUGCUCAAAGAGAAGAUGGUCGGUGUAACGCGCUUGUGAUGCUCAAAGAGAAGAUGGUCGGUGUCAUGCGCUUCUGAUGCUCAAAGAGAUCGGUGUCACGCGCAUCCGUGUGAAGACACCGCCAAACAGGGUGUGAGCAAUAAGGCUGUUUAUUUUAACUGGGUGCAGGCGGGCUGAGUCCGAAAAGAGAGUCAGCAAAGGGAGAUAGGGGUGGGGCUGUUUUAUAGGAUUUGGAUGGGUAGCGGAAAAUUACAAAGGGGGUUUUUCUCUUACGGGCAGGGGCGGGGGUCACAAGGUGCUCAGUGGGGGAGGUUCUGAGCCAGGAGAAGGAAUUUCACAAGGUUAAUCACUCAGUUAAGGUGGGGCAGGAACAAAUCACAAUGGUGGAAUGUCAUCAGUUAAGGCAGGAACCGGCCAAUUUCCCUUCUUUUGUGAUUCUUCACUUGCUUCAGGCCAUCUGGAUGUACACGUGCAGGCUUGGGCUCAGAGGCCUGACAGUCGGCCACUAGUUACCAAAGCUGGUGGCAGGCUGGAGUCUCCAGGGAAGCUAUUGAUUGAUUGAUUGACUGAUUGACAGGGUCUUGGUCUGUCACCCAGGCUGGAGUGCAGUGACGCGAUCACAGCUCACUGCAGCCUCAACCUCCCAUGCUCAAGGGAUCCUCCCACCUCAGCCUCUGGAGUAGUUUGGGACCACAGAUGUGUGUCACCAGGCUUGGUUGAUUUUUUUAUUUUAUUUUUUUAGGGACAGAAUCUCUCUAUGUUGCCCAGGCUGGUCUCCAACUCGUGGGUUCAAGCGAUCCUCCUGCCUCAGUCUCCCAAAGUGCUGGGAUGACAGGUGUGGGCAACCACACCCAGCCAAGGAUCUGGUUUUUGAAAAGAUAAAUAAAUUUAACAAACCUCCAGCAAGACUGCAAAGAAAAAAGAAAAAGAGAAGACACAAAUUACCAAUGUGAGGAACAUACCAGGGAAUAUAAUUACAGAACCUUCAGACACCAAAAAGGAAUGCCAUAAAUAACACCACAUAACAUAAAUUUGACAACUUUGACAAGAUGAGCGAAUUCUUCAGAAGGCACAAAUUACUACAAAUAACCUAAUAUGAAAAGGUAAUUUAAAUAGUCCUCUAACUAGAGAAAAUUGUAAUUGUAAUUUUUAAACUAAAAAAAAAAAAAACCUGAGAUCUCCAGGCCCAAAAGCUUUCACUGAUGAAUUCUAUAAAAUGUUUACACAAGAAUUAACACCAAUUCCAUACAGCCUCUUCCAGAAGAUAGAAGAGGAAGGAACAGUUGCCAAUGUACUGUAUGAAGUUAGAAUCACCCCACUACCAAAGCCAGCAAAAGACCGUACAAAAAGAAAAAAAUACCAACACUUCUCAUGAAUAUUGAUGGAAAAAUCCAUAGCAAAAUAUUAGCAAAUAUAAUUCAGAAAUAUAUAAAAAGAAUUGUACAAUAUGACCAAGUGGGAUAUAUUCCAGAGAUGUAAGUUUGUUUUAAUAUUUGAAAAUAUGUGUAAUGCACUAUAUUAAGUUAGAAAAAUCACAUGAUAAUUUCGAUCAAAACAAAAAAAGUAGCUGGGCACAAUGGUUCAUGCCUGUAAUCCAAACACUUUGGGAGGCCGAGGUGGGAGGAUUGCUUGAACCCAGGAGUUUGAGACCAAACUGGUUGGGCCACAUAGCAAGACUUCAUUUCUAUAAAUAAUUUUAAAAUUAGCCAGUCAUGGUGGUGUACACCUGUGGUCCCAGCUACUCCAGAGACUGAGAUGGGGGGGAAAUCACUUGAGCCCAGGAGGUCCAGGCUGCAGUGAACCGUGAUCGUGCCCCUGCACUCCAGCCUGAGUGACAUAAUGAGACCCCCAUUACAAAAAAAAAAAAAAAACAGGCCAGGCAUGGUAGCUCACGCCUGUAAUCCCAGCACUUUGCGAGGCCGAGGCAGACAGAUCAUCUGAGGUCAGAAGUUUGAGACUAGCCUGACCAACACAGAGAAACCCCGUCUCUACUAAAAAUACACAAUUAGCUGGGUGUGGUGGCAUGUGCCUGUAAUUCCAGCUAUUCAGGAGGCUGAGGCAGGAGAAUCAUUUGAACCAGGGAGGCAGAGGUUGCAGUGAGCCGAGAUCGUGCCAUUGCACUCCAGCCUGGGCAACAGGAGUGAAACUCCAUCUCAAAAAAAAAAAAAACAAAAAAAGCAUCUUACAAAUUCCAACAUUCAUUCAUGAUUAAAAACUCAGAUAAACAGGAAUAGAGGGGAACUUCCUCAUCUUGAUAAACCGGAUUACAAAAAACUUACGGCUAAUAUACUUAAUGGUGAGAGAAGACUGAAUGCUCUUCUCAUAAGACUGGGAGCAAGGCAAGGGUGUUCGCUCUCACCACUUUUAUUCAAUAUAGUGCUGGGAGUUCUUGUCAGUGCAAUAGACAAGAAAAGCAAUUACAAACAUAUGGAGUGAAAAGAAAGAAAGAAAACUCUCACUAUUUACAGAUAACAUAAUUGUUGCUAUAGUUUGGAUAUCUGACCAUCCAAACCUCAUGGUGAAAUCUGAUUCUCCAAUGUUAGAGGUGGGGCCUGGUGGAAGGUGUUUGGAUCACGGAGGCCGAUCCCUCAUGAAGGGCUUGGUGCUGUCCUCUGGGUAAUGAGAAGUUCUCAUUGUAUUGGCUCCUGUGAGAGUUCUCCCAAGAACUCAUUGUUAAAAACAGCCUAGCACCUUCCCUCUUUCUCUCUCUCACUUCUGCUCUCUUCCAGUGUGAUCUCUGCACAUGCCAGCUCCCAUUCACCCUCUGCCAUUUGGGGAAGUUUCCUGAGUCCCUCACCAGAAGCAGAUGCUGGCUCUAGGCUUUUUGUUUAGCCUGCAGAACCAUGAGCCAAAUAAACCUUUUUUCUUUAUGAAUUACCAACCCUCAGGUAAUUUAUACACAAUUUUCACACGCGUCCAUGUGAAGAGACCACCAAACUCACUUUGUGUGAGCAAUAAAGCUUUUUAAUCACCUGGGUGCAGGCGGGCUGAGUCGGAAAAGAGAGUCAGCAAAGGGAAAUAGGGGUGGGGCCGUUUUAUAGGAUUUGGGUAGGUAAAGCAAAAUUACAGUCAAAGGGUGUUGUUCUCUGGCAGGCUGGGGUGGGGGUCACAAGGUGCUCAGUGGGGGAGGUUCUGAGCCAGGAGAAGGAAUUUCACAAGGUUAAUCGCUCAGUUAAGGUGGGGCAGGAACAAAUCACAAUGGUGGAAUGUCAUCAGUUAAGGCAGGAACAGGCCAUUUUCACUUCUUUUGUGAAUCUUCAGUUACUUCAGGCCAUCUGGAUGAAUACGUGCAGACUUGGGCUCAGAGGC